rnacentral:rRNA from 1 species
GCCAAAGCUAGCCCAAACAUCCACAAACCCAACUAACACUAGAAAAUAAAACAAAACAUUUAGUUACUUCAAAAAGUAUAGGAGAUAGAAAUUUAACUUGGCGCUAUAGAGAGAGUACCGCAAGGGAAAGAUGAAAGACAAAAUUAAAAGCACCGCACAGCAAAGAUUACCCCUUGUACCUUUUGCAUAAUGAGUUAGCUAGAAUUAACCUAACAAAGAGAACUUCAGCUAGGCCCCCCGAAACCAGACGAGCUACCCACGAACAAUCUAUUACAGGAUGAACUCGUCUAUGUUGCAAAAUAGUGAGAAGAUUCAUGGGUAGAGGUGAAAAGCCUAACGAGCCUGGUGAUAGCUGGUUGCCCAGAAUAGAAUCUUAGUUCAACUUUAAACUUACCUCAAAAACCCAUAAUUCCAAUGUAAGUUUAAAAUAUAGUCUAAAAGGGUACAGCUUUUUAGAAUUAGGAUACAGCCUUUAUUAGAGAGUAAGCAUUAUACCACAAACCAUAGUUGGCUUAAGAGCAGCCAUCAAUUAAGAAAGCGUUCAAGCUCAACAACCGGAACACCUUAAUGUCAAAAAACACAACCAACUCCUAAUUUAAAACUGGGCUAAUCUAUUUAAUAAUAGAAGCAAUAAUGCUANNNNNNNNNNNNNNNNNNAUUUCNNNNNNNNNNNNNNNNUAUCAGAACGGAUAACCACUGAUAGUUAACAACAAGAUAUGUACAACCCAACUAUAAACAAAAUAUCAAACUAAUUGUUAACCCAACACAGGCAUGCAAACUUAGGGAAAGAUUAAAAGAAGUAAAAGGAACUCGGCAAACACAAGCCCCGCCUGUUUACCAAAAACAUCACCUCUAGCAUUUCUAGUAUUAGAGGCACUGCCUGCCCAGUGACACUAGUUAAACGGCCGCGGUAUUCUGACCGUGCAAAGGUAGCAUAAUCAUUUGUUCCCUAAAUAGGGACUUGUAUGAAUGGCCACACGAGGGCUUUACUGUCUCUUACUUCCGAUCCGUGAAAUUGACCUUCCCGUGAAGAGGCGGGAAUAUAACAAUAAGACGAGAAGACCCUAUGGAGCUUUAAUUAACCGACCCAAAGAGACCCCAUUUAUCCAACCGACAGGAACAACAAACCUCUACUAUGGGUCGACAAUUUAGGUUGGGGUGACCUCGGAGAAUAAAACAACCUCCGAGUGAUUUAAAUCAAGACUAACCAGUCAAAAGUAUUACAUCACUUAUUGAUCCAAAAACUUGAUCAACGGAACAAGUUACCCUAGGGAUAACAGCGCAAUCCUAUUUUAGAGUCCAUAUCGACAAUAGGGUUUACGACCUCGAUGUUGGAUCAGGACAUCCCGAUGGUGCAGCAGCUAUCAAAGGUUCGUUUGUUCAACGAUUAAAGUCCUACGUGAUCUGAGUUCAGACCGGAGUAAUCCAGGUCGGUUUCUAUCUAUUUAAUAAUUUCUCCCAGUACGAAAGGACAAGAGAAAUAAGGCCCACUUUACCAAAGCGCCUUUAACCUAAUAGAUGAUAUAAUCUUAAUCUAGACAGUUUACCUGAUCUUAUCUACCCGAGAGCUCGGGUUU